CACCGCGCCUCACUGAGUCGCCGGCCGCUAGAUCCUCCGGGUCCUCGCCUAGCUCUCUCCCGCGGUGCGGGCGCGUCCCCAAGGCCCGGGUGCCAGGCGUGCUUCCUUGCUCAUCCCAAGCCUCCCGCGAGGACUGCUGAGGCCGCAGGAGUGGUUGGAAGAACAGUGCACAUGAAUCUUUGACAUCAUGAUGUACAUCCGGCAAAGAAGAGAGACGAAAACCGUAGAAGUUUCCGAGGGUUGUCCAUCACCGAAAGAAAAUGUGAAGUUGGAAAAGAAACUGCCAUCUGGUUGUGCCCCUGGAAGGUUCUGGAAGAUCCUGUCAUCUGUGGUUGGCGGAAUCGUGGCCCUUUGCAUUGGACUUCUUACAUCUGUCUACCUGGCCACCCUGCAUGAGAAUGAUUUG